GAUGAACGCUGGCGGCGUGCCUAAUACAUGCAAGUCGAGCGAACAGACGAGGAGCUUGCUCCUCUGACGUUAGCGGCGGACGGGUGAGUAACACGUGGAUAACCUACCUAUAAGACUGGGAUAACUUCGGGAAACCGGAGCUAAUACCAGAUAAUAUAUUGAACCGCAUGGUUCAAUAGUGAAAGACGGUUUUGCUGUCACUUAUAGAUGGAUCCGCGCCGCAUUAGCUAGUUGGUAAGGUAACGGCUUACCAAGGCAACGAUGCGUAGCCGACCUGAGAGGGUGAUCGGCCACACUGGAACUGAGACACGGUCCAGACUCCUACGGGUGGCAGCAGUAGGGAAUCUUCCGCAAUGGGCGAAAGCCUGACGGAGCAACGCCGCGUGAGUGAUGAAGGUCUUCGGAUCGUAAAACUCUGUUAUUAGGGAAGAACAAAUGUGUAAGUAACUAUGCACGUCUUGACGGUACCUAAUCAGAAAGCCACGGCUAACUACGUG
rnacentral:rRNA from 1 species